AAUUCAAGCCCCGGUAAACGGCGGUGGUAACUAUAACCAUCCUAAGGUAGCGAAAUUCCUUGUCGGGUAAGUUCCGACCUGCACGAAUGGCGUAACGACUUCCCCACUGUCUCGACCAGGAGCUCGGCGAAAUUGCAGUACGAGUAAAGAUGCUCGUUAAGCGCAGAAGGACGAAAAGACCCCGGGACCUUUACUAUACCUUGGUAUUGGCAUUCGGUGUGGAUUGUGUAGCAUAGGCGGAAGGCUUCGAAGCCACGGCGCCAGCCGCGGUGGAGCCGCAAGGUGAAAUACCGCUCUGUUCGCAUUGGAUGUCUAACCUCGACCAGUCAUCCUGGUCAGGGACAGUGCCUGGCGGGUAGUUUAACUGGGGCGGUUGCCUCCCAAAGAGUAACGGAGGCGCUCAAAGGUUCCCUCAGCCCGGUUGGCAAUCGGGUGGCGAGUGUAAGUGCACAAGGGAGCUUGACUGCGAGACUGACGGGUCGAGCAGGGACGAAAGUCGGAACUAGUGAUCCGGUGCCGGUGUACGGACGCGGCAUCGCUCAACGGAUAAAAGGUACCCCGGGGAUAACAGGCUGAUCAUUCCCAAGAGUCCAUAUCGACGGGAUGGUUUGGCACCUCGAUGUCGGCUCGUCGCAUCCUGGGGCUGGAGCAGGUCCCAAGGGUUCGGCUGUUCGCCGAUUAAAGCGGCACGCGAGCUGGGUUCAGAACGUCGUGAGACAGUUUGGUCUCUAUCCUCUGCGCUCGUCGGAAUGUUGAGGAGGCCUGCCCAUAGUACGAGAGGACCUGGGUGGACGAACCUCUGGUAUGCCGGUUGUCACGCCAGUGGCACGGCCGGUUGGCUACGUUCGGAAGGGAUAACCGCUGAAAGCAUCUAAGCGGGAAGCCUGCUCCAAGAUAAGCAUUCCAUAGGACUACGGGUCCUUGAAGUCCCCAUGCAGAACACGUGGUUGAUAGGCCGGACGUGGAAGCCCCGCGAGGGGUGGAGCCGACCGGUACUAACGGACGAAAGGCAACACAAC
rnacentral:rRNA from 1 species